UAUGAAGGCCACGCAGCGGUCCAGGUGACUGAGCAGGUCGGUCUCGGGCUUGUCCAGCGCCGCCACGAAGAGGCACCGCAUCCCCUCCCCGUGCGCCCCGGUCUUGAAGGCGGGUUCCUCCGAGUCCACGGUCAGCACAGCUGUGAUGCCGGCCUCCUUCAGCUGCUGCGGCUCCGCCACGGCCGCCGCCCCACCCAGAGCUACAGUGUCGGAAACCCACAGGGACCGUUGGUGUCCAAGCAGAACUGAAGCCAGGCUAAGGACCAGCGAGAGAGAGACCUGCCAGUGGACAUGUCUGAGGAGAGUAUCCUGACGAAAAACUGUAACCUGAGUCAUUGUUGAACCUGAAUUGUAACCUGUUACUUCUCUUAUCAAUUCCACAGCUGUGAGUAUGGUCUGUGAUUUUGUAUGGCGCUGAAAUGACUUAGCAAGCUCUGCAGGAAAAUAUAGAGAGUGCCAUGGAAGAGAUGGUUGCUGUCAGAAUUGACUAACUAGAAUCAGCAUUGGCCUGUGGCUCUUGACUCUCCUUCCCCCUAUCAGAGUUACAAGAGGUCAGAUACCAUGCUCCCCAGGACAUUUUUACAGAUGUUAACCCCUUUCUUGUCCAAGUUUACGGUUUUUAUAUUUUGAAGCUAUCAGUUCUAUCUUUUCUGUCAGUUCCCUCCUGCAACAGACCACCAGGAAUUCACAGGUUGAGUUUAUUACACAACCGAGAACGUGGAAAACCUACAUAGGAUUUGCACUUCUGUUGGAUGAGUGUGUAGGCAUAUGGUUAAUAUUUUGUGUCUUGGAAGGGUGUUCAUGUCUUAGCUGAGUUCAGUCAUGAUUACGGAUGCUCUCAUUUUCAUUUUGUUCUGUUGUGAUCACAGAGGCCUUGUCCAGGGCUGAUCUUUUGUGAAGUGGUUCAUUAGGAGAAUGACCAAUCCCCUCAUUGGUGUUUUAUACACCUAUUUCCAUUAUCCCACCCAACCAUUUGGUAGAAGCUAGAGACAAGGAUUGAAGAGUCAGAUUGAAGCAAUUUCAUUACACUAUCAUGUCAAAUACCAUAGUAGAUACCAUAAGGAACUUGCAGACAAGUUGGAGAGGAAGACAGGUAAGUGACCUCUUCAGUGUUGCUAUGGAGGCAGGGACGAGGCUCUAAGAAAGUGCAUGGGGACAUCUAACCCAAAUGGAAGAGAGAAAAUUAGGGACAACCUGCAGAAACACCCAGAAGAGAUCAUGCUUGACCUGAGUUUGGAUGGAUGGCAACUUACCACACAAAAAGGAAAGGCGAGGAAGAGAAAUUCUAAGCAGAAGAAACAACAUCAGGCAGAAACAAAGGCAGGAAUGGCAGUCGACCAGAAUAUGAGUGGGUUGUUGGAGAAGAAAGGGAGAUGGGGAUGAUGUCAUGUGGAUUGGAAAGAUAGGCAUGACCAGAUCAAGAGAACAAUGCAUGCCUUGAUCAGAAGUUGCUGACUAGCUUUUCCUAGACUACGUAAAAAAGCAUCAACAGUAAAAUAACACAAUUUGAUUUACAUUUUUGAAAAUCCAUGCUGACUACAAUGUGGGGAAUGUAUUAAAGAUGUGGGGAACUAGCUACAUGAUGAAAUUUUAGUUUUAAGCUAGUUUGCAAAUAGAAAGCAUUUUAAGUUCAUUGACUUAAUGUAUAUAUAAUAGAAAAUAUUGAAAUUUAUAUGCCAAACUGUUACAAGUGCAUAUUUCUAAGAGCUCACAUUCUGAAGAAGACUUGCUUGAUAGGUAUUGGACACUUCUGUGUUGUAAAUUUUAUUUAUUUCAAUAAAUAUGGAUUAAAGGUAA